rnacentral:tRNA from 1 species
GAGUAAAUAGCUAAUUUAAGUUUAUUUUUUACACUAAUAAGAUACCUAUCAGGUUUUACUUU